UACGUAGGGUGCGAGCGUUCAUCGGAAUUACUGGGCGUAAAGCGUGCGCAGGCGGCUUUGCAAGACAGAUGUGAAAUCCCCGGGCUUAACCUGGGAACUGCAUUUGUGACUGCAUGGCUGGAGUGCGGCAGAGGGGGAUGGAAUUCCGCGUGUAGCAGUGAAAUGCGUAGAUAUGCGGAGGAACACCGAUGGCGAAGGCAAUCCCCUGGGCCUGCACUGACGCUCAUGCACGAAAGCGUGGGGAGCAAACAGG
rnacentral:rRNA from 1 species